GAUGAACGCUGGCGGCGUGCCUAAUACAUGCAAGUCGAGCGAACAGACGAGGAGCUUGCUCCCCUGACGUUAGCGGCGGACGGGUGAGUAACACGUGGAUAACCUACCUAUAAGACUGGGAUAACUUCGGGAAACCGGAGCUAAUACCGGAUAAUAUAUUGAACCGCAUGGUUCAAUAGUGAAAGACGGUUUUGCUGUCACUUAUAGAUGGAUCCGCGCCGCAUUAGCUAGUUGGUAAGGUAACGGCUUACCAAGGCAACGAUGCGUAGCCGACCUGAGAGGGUGAUCGGCCACACUGGAACUGAGACACGGUCCAGACUCCUACGGGAGGCAGCAGUAGGGAAUCUUCCGCAAUGGGCGAAAGCCUGACGGAGCAACGCCGCGUGAGUGAUGAAGGUCUUCGGAUCGUAAAACCCUGUUAUUAGGGAAGAACAAAUGUGUAAGUAACUAUGCACGUCUUGACGGUACCUAAUCAGAAAGCCACGGCUAACUACGUG
rnacentral:rRNA from 1 species